ACAGCAUCUUAUUGUCCUGGGUUCGGAUUUUAAAAGAGUAUUUUAUUCUUAAGCGCGGUAUUCAAGCUGACACUCGAAAUUACUUAGGAGCAAAAAACACACGGCAAAGCUGUCACAUGGGGGAAGGCGAGCAUCUCUCUACACAAUCCAAAAAGAAAGUGAACCCUUCACAAGUUUGAUUCUCACCACCCUCCCCUCAUCCUUUAAGCACUGGAAAACAAGCUGUAGGGAGAUUGUGUUGGAUGGGGCAUCCCAGCACAUCUGGUGGGCACCAGGUGGUAGAAUACUUCAUUUCUUCAGUGAAGGAGAAUGUUUGUAACCUCAGGGCUGAAAUGAGGGAUCCUUGGUGCUCUCUGAGCUUGGUUGUUUUCUGGCAGGUGUUUCAUGAUCCAAACACAAUACUGUCAGUGUUAAGAUGGGGUUUGUGGUGGUGGUGAGGAGGAGGAGGAGGAAAGGAGGAGGAGGAGGAAGCAGAGGAAAAGGGAAGAAG